CCUACGGGGGGCAGCAGUAAGGAAUCUUCGUCAAUGGGCGCGAGCCUGAACCAGCCAAGUAGCGUGAAGGAUGACUGCCCUACGGGUUGUAAACUUCGUUUAUGAAGGAGUAAGAUAGAGCACGUAUGCCUUUUUGUAUGUACUUUAUGAAUAAGGAUCGGCUAACUCCGUUCCAGCAGUCGCGGUAAUACGGAGGAUCCGAGCGUUAUCCGGAUUUAUUGGGUUUAAAGUGAACGUAGAUGGGUUGUUAAGUCAGAUGUGAAAGUCUGCGGCUCAACCGUAAAAUUGCAAUUGAUACUGGAAGCCUUGAGUACAGUUGAGGUAGGCGGAAUUCGUGGUGUAGCGGUGAAAUGCGUAGAUAUAACGAAGAACUCCGAUUGCGAAGGCAGCUUACUAAACUGCCACUGACAUUGAUGCUCGAAAGUGUGGGUAUCAAACAGGAUUAGAUACCCCAGUAGUC
rnacentral:rRNA from 1 species